ensembl:misc_RNA Metazoa_SRP Metazoan signal recognition particle RNA
GCCGGGCAUGAUAGUGCAUGCCUGUAGUCCCAGCUACUCUGGAGGCUGAGGCAGGACGAUCACUUGACCCCAGGAAUUCUGGGCUGUAGUGCAUUAUGCCAAUUGGGUGUACACGCUAAGUUUGGCAUCAAUAUGGUGACCUCUUGAGAGCAGGGGACCACCAGGUUGCCUAGGGAGCGGGAACAAGCCCAGGCUGGAAACGGAGCAAGUCAGAACUCCCGUGCUGAUCAGCAGUGGGAUUGCACCUACUCUGGGUACCUUGCCCAGGCUGGAUCGACUACUCUUACUGUGUUGCCCAGGCUGGAGUGCAGUGGGAUUCAGGCUUC